UUUCCUCCUUUGCUUGGCAAGGGACAAGGUUGCAUGCGAUGUGAACGGAGUCCUCUGGCCGGACCCAGCACAAAGACGUGAUGGAAAGCCUAAUGGGCAGACUGAUGAUUCCUGGUGUCUGAUUGGAAGCACAAGACUGCAAGAGACUAUAAACAUGGGUGGAGGUUUCACUUCCUCCUCAGCAAAACUUCAACCUGACAGAAUCUGCAAGUCUAUAGGUAAAAAA